CACGUCAGCGCGCUUUGCUGACGUGGCAACAAAUCGCAUCAUUUGAAGUGCGAUUUGUGUCCACGUCAGCAAAGCGCGCUGACGUGG
rfam:Gossypium hirsutum cultivar TM-1 chromosome 18, whole genome shotgun sequence